GGCGCUGUGAUGUAGUGGGUUAACGUCCUGGCCUGAAGCGCCGGCAUCCCAUAUGGGCUCUGGUUCUAGUCCUGGCUGCUCCA
rnacentral:tRNA from 1 species